rnacentral:misc_RNA from 1 species
UAGAGGAAGUAAAAGUCGUAACAAGGUUUCCGUUGGUGAACCAGCGGAAGGAUCAUUACAGAGAUCGUGCCCUCUACGGGUAGACCUCCCACCCUGUGUUUAUACUAUUGUUGCUUUGGCGGGCUGCCCUCGGCUUCGGCUGAGGUGCGCCUGUCAGAGAACACCCCCCAACUCUGUGUUUUACUAUUGUCCGAAUAUUAUUUAAAUACGUUAAAACUUUCAACAACGGAUCUCUUGGUUCUGGCAUCGAUGAAGAACGCAGCGAAAUGCGAUAAGUAAUGUGAAUUGCAGAAUUCAGUGAAUCAUCGAAUCUUUGAACGCACAUUGCGCCCCUUGGUAUUCCGGGGGGCAUGCCUGUUCGAGCGUCAUUUCAACACUCAAGCUUAGGCUUGGUAUUGGGCUAUGCCAGCCGGUUGGAUGGCUUGCCUUAAAAUCAGUGGCGGUGCCACCGAGCUCUACGCGCAGUAGUUAUUUUUCUCGCGAUUGGGCCUUGGUGGUUGCUAGCCAGUAACCCUAAUUUACUAUGGGUUGACCUCGGAUCA